UCUGGUGGAAAUUGAAAUCUAUAUGGAACUGCAGAGAACCAAGAAUAACCAAGCCAGUCAUUCAAAAGAAUAAAACUUGAGGACUUUUGCUACCAGACCCCAAAACCUGUUUUAAAGCAACAGUAUUAAGAGAAAGUGCUGUUCACCAAGCACCCAGAUCUCAAGUUCUAAAUACUUUUCUCCAAUAAAAGGAAUUAGGGUUCCUUGGAAGAAGUGGCUAACCCCAGGGCUGGAACACAGAACAUAUAAAAUGAGCCUGAAACAAACAUCUUUUGGUGCCAGUAAAUACGGAAAUGCAUGGGAAAGGAUGGGGGCUUGUUGAAAGAACACAAGAGUCAGCCUGAAGGACUCAAGGCCAAUCAAUUUGAGCAACAAAAAGUAGUGAUCAUAUUGAACUGUAACUCAUAGAUUACAACCAAUAUCCAUGAGUCUAGACUGAUAGAAAUAAAUAAUUGCACAAAUAAAUGAAGAAGCACAUCUCUUCCCAUAGAUUAAGACCAAUGUCCAUUAGUCUAGACUGAUAGAAAUAAAUAAUUGCACAAAUAAAUGAGGAAGCACAUCUCUUCCUUAUAGAAGAUUUCCAGUUAAUAAAUGUGCAAGGAAUUAGAGAACUACAAAACCACCAUUAGAGUUUAGGCAAACACUACAGUAAUUAUUGCAAGCAAGGUGGAUGCUAAAAUCAGUGGGCAAAAGCUUGAGAAAAUAAUAGAGUAUAUGUAUAAUUUCAGCGUGUCUCCCUCAAGAUACACUACAGUGGAGAAACCCAGUGGACACUAUCUUAACCAAUCUUAAAUUGAAAUCUUCAAAUUCCACCAAGAAAGAAUGAUCAUACUUAAUAUGUCAAAAUCUUGAAAGACAAGGAAAGACUAAGGAACUCUCAACAAAUUAGAGGUGGCGUGAGCCACGGUGCCCAGCCUCGGUGUGAGUACUUUGAACCAGCAGUUCUACUCCCGGGUAUAUACUUAACAGAAAUGAGUAUAUAUGUCCACUAAAAGACAUGUAGAAUUUGUGUAUCAGCUUUAAUAAUAGCCUCAAACAGGAAGUAAUUAAAUAUUCAUCAGCAGUAAAAUGGAUAAAUAAAUGGUAUUAUAUUCAUACAAUGGAAUACUGUAUGUCAGUCAGAAAGACAAUUACUACAACAAUAUGGAAGAAUCUCACAAGGCAUUGUAGACUGAAAGAAACCAAACACAAAAGAGUAUAUACCAAACGAUCCAUUUACAUGAAGUUCAAAAACAGGCAUAAUUAAUCUACAGUGUUAGAAAUCAGGAUAGUGCUACCUCUGGGGCAUGGAUAUUGAUUAGGAAGGAUCAUUUUAGAGGGCUC
rnacentral:lncRNA from 1 species